rnacentral:rRNA from 1 species
GAUGAACGCUGGCGGCGUGCCUAAUACAUGCAAGUCGAGCGAACAGACGAGGAGCUUGCUCCUCUGACGUUAGCGGAGGACGGGUGAGUAACACGUGGAUAACCUACCUAUAAGACUGGGAUAACUUCGGGAAACCGGAGCUAAUACCGGAUAAUAUAUUGAACCGCAUGGUUCAAUAGUGAAAGACGGUUUUGCUGUCACUUAUAGAUGGAUCCGCGCCGCAUUAGCUAGUUGGUAAGGUAACGGCUUACCAAGGCAACGAUGCGUAGCCGACCUGAGAGGGUGAUCGGCCACACUGGAACUGAGACACGGUCUAGACUCCUACGGGAGGCAGCAGUAGGGAAUCUUCCGCAAUGGGCGAAAGCUUGACGGAGCAACGCCGCGUGAGUGAUGAAGGUCUUCGGAUCGUAAAACUCUGUUAUUAGGGAAGAACAAAUGUGUAAGUAACUAUGCACGUCUUGACGGUACCUAAUCAGAAAGCCACGGCUAACUACGUG